CACGUAGUUAGCCGGUCCUUAUUCCCACCUACCGUCAACCCCACGAGAACGUGGAGCCUGCGUUGGUGGUAAAAGAGGUUUACAACCCGAAGGCCGUCAUCCCCACGCGGCGUCGCUGCAUCAGGCUUUCGCCCAUUGUGCAAUAUUCCCCACUGCUGCCUCCCGCAGGAGUCUGGGCCGUGUCUCAGUCCCAGUGUGGCCGGUCGCCCUCUCAGGCCGGCUACCCGUAAUCGCCUUGGUAGGCCGUUACCCCACCAACAAGCUGAUAGGCCGCGAGCCCAUCCCUGACCGAUAAAACUUUCCACCCUCCACCAUGAGGUGGCGGGUCGUAUCCGGGUAUUAGACGGCGUUUCCACCGCUUAUCCCGGAGUCAGGGGCAGGUUGCUCACGUGUUACUCACCCGUUCGCCGCUCGUGUACCCCCGAAGGGCCUUACCGCUCGACUUGCAUGUGUUAAGCACGCCGCCAGCGUCGUCUCGAGCACGGAUCAAACUAC
rnacentral:rRNA from 1 species